GAAGAUUUCAUCCUGCCCCUUGUAAAAAUCAUUUUGCGAUCUCCCGCUCUUCUUCGCAAUUACGCUGCUCACUCUUCUUCAUCCCAACUCAUCCAAUACUUUCACCAACGGACUUCCUCUUCUUAUUCUGGUUUGACGCAUAACCCUGUAAACUGCCGCUGCUUCUACCGCUUCUUCAUUCCCGCCUAAUCAACGCCACAACCAUAACCUUUGUCUUCCUCUUCAGCAGCAGCGGUUGCUCCGCAAUCAACGCCGCAACACAUUCUUCUUUCUCUUCAAUCGCACAUUCGCUCAUAUUUCGAAAAUAUAAAUUUUUUCGAUGGACAAUCAACCACCCCUAUUGUCCGAUAUCAUCAAUUGGAUGUGGAAUGACUAGUAAUAAUCGUGAAGAAAAUCAAAAUGGUGAUGGGGGAAUUACAGAUGAUAGGACAUGAUUACAACGAGUACUUUUGAUUCAAUUCCAAGUUUGAUUGGACAUAUAAUUUUCUGAAUCAUGGAUUUUUAUGAAACAAGUAGCUGAUAGCCAAAGAGACAAAUGGUUUGAAAUAUUUAAGGUAUAUUAGUAUUGAGUUUGUUUUAUUAACUAUAUAUUAUUGAAUUGAUUUUAACUAUUAAAUUUCAACUGCAUUUUUAUAGUUCGGAACCUCAGUACGAAUCUGAAAUUCGUAAUUUAUUUUUAAAUAAAGUUAAUGAGUUCUUAAGGAAAAAUUUAGGCUAUGCUAGAAAAAAUAAUGUAUGUCCGAAAUAGAUUUCUCUUGAAAAAUGGGAUAAAAUGAAGGAGCAAUGAGGUUCUAAAGAAUUUCAGGAUAUGGUUGAACGAAAUAAAGAAAAUAGAAAAAAAAUCCGACAGCUGUUGCAAAUCAAUACCGUGGGGGCGCUCGAUCUGCUGGUCGUAUUCGAAAGAUUAUGAAUGACGAAUUAGGACGCACACCAACCGAAACAAUGUUUUAGUAAAAAAAAAAUGUAGUACCUACUCAAGAUGUUGCAGCUCUUGGGGUAUAAUUUAUUUAGAAUAUAUAUAUUUUUAUAUUGAAUAAUAUAAUAUAAUGUUUCAAAAUUUUUAAUUUUAAGGCGAAGCUACAAAAAUUUUCUGAAUGUAGCUCUACUUCUAAAUUGAAUCCAAAGAAACUUGUUAGUGCCUUUGGUGGUUUCAACACAAAAGGUCGUGUCCCGAGACUUGGUUCUAGAGGGAAGAUAGCAAAGGUUCAACUUUGAUUUUCCUGUUCGUUGCAUCUGCAUCUUUUUUAAGUGUAUCAAUGGAUGAACAUUUGAAGAUUAAGGAAGAGUAGCGAGCGAAUAAUCAAAAAUUAGAUCAAGUGACGAAAAUUCCUUCAUAUGCACUUUGAAAAUUUCAAUAAUCCUAUUACUCACGAACCAGAGCCAUAUUAUCCCCGAAUGGCUAGUCCAUUUGAUCCUUGUCAAAUGCGUCGAGAGGAAAGUGGGAGUGGAAGUGGAAGUCGUACCGGUGAAGUGAGUGGAAGUCGACAGUAUUAUCGCAAUGAGGAGGAUGAUGAAUAUGAAAACGACGAUGAUGAAACUA